GACGAACGCUGGCGGCGUGCCUAAUACAUGCAAGUCGAACGCAGUGGGGACGGGUGAGUAAAACGUGGGUAACCUCCCAUCAGAGGGGAUAACCCUUGGAAACCGGUGCUAAACCGCUACUGAUGGAUGGACCCGCGGUGCAUUAGCGAGUGGGUGGGGUAACGGCUCACCAAGGCCACGAUGCCUAGCCGAGCUGAGAGGGUGACCAGCCACACUGGAACUGAGACACGGUCCAGACUCCGACGGGAGGCAGCAGUAGGGAAUCUUCGGCAAUGGGCGAAAGUCUGACCGAGCAACGCCGCGUGAGUGAAGAAGGUUUUCGGAUCGUAAAGCACUGUUAGCAGGGAAGCGGUAUCUAACCAGAAAGCCACGGCUAACUACGUGCCAGCAGCCGCGGUAAUAC
rnacentral:rRNA from 1 species